UUGAUCGUCGCCGACUCGACGAUUCAAUGCACGCGCGCGAUACACGUAGAUAAGAAUUAAGAAUUUACUAAGUUGCUCGCCGUGAAUACGUUGUAUAUGCGUGGGUCAGAGCUGUUACCGCUAAACUGCGUGUGCUAUUUUAGCGGUCAGUGCGCUAAGCAGAGCUUCGAUUUGGAGACAAUUGGAGAGGGGGAGGAGGUCUUGGAGAGACAUCGGGCAUCGGUGGAGGAACUUUGUGAUCAACGUAGUAAAUAACUCCACUGUUGCGCAUCGGUCG